UCUCCUUUUUGUUCUUGAAGAUCUUCAAGUCGCUUUGGUUUCUCUAACAUUUCUAAGUUUUAGGCCUCUUUGUCCUCUGAAAGUACUGAAAAACCAAAAACGAAAAUGUCUUAAUAAAUGGAGCAGUUCUAACUGGAACAAGAGUGGGUUGUGAAUUAUUUGGAGGCAGAAAUAUAAAGAGGUGUAGGUUUGAGUUUUGUGUAAGAAAAGAGAGGUAGAUUUAAAGAUUUGGGAAUUCUUGGGGAAUGAUAGAUUUGCAGAUUAC
rnacentral:lncRNA from 1 species